UCCGGCCAGCUGGAUCCAGCAACGGGGAGGCCAACGUUGCUAGGUCCGAUGGCCUUGGCCUCCUUAUUGGCCGAUGCGGCGGUGAUC
rnacentral:pre_miRNA from 3 species